rnacentral:lncRNA from 1 species
GAGUGCAUAUGGGCCUGGACUUAAAAAUGUAUAUUCAUUCAGCGUCCCGGCGAAAGAAAAAGAGAUGAUCUUCUACUUAAACAAAAUCAAGCUUUAACGUUCGCUCAAAAGAAAAUUCAAGCUUUAACAGGGAACUGGAUGUUGGCGUGCAUGUGUGGAGUAGGAUUAUGUUCCUCGCGCGCAAUGAUGCCGAUGGUUCCCUCCGGGUCCAUCAUCGAUCGGUGGAUGCAUGGAUCGCUCCCCCGAUGGACGAGCGUCCAGUCGUCGGUGCGUGCAUGGCCAGCUCGUGGAGUUGAUGCCAAUGAUACGAUACAGCAGUGGAUCGUUGUAUGCGGGCUGCUAAAAUACAAUGAUUCCUUUUUGUCUGAACUGAGCCCACGUUAGAUUGUUGCCUACUAUAGCACUCCUUGUCGUAGUUGUACAGGAGAGACGGUCGACGAGUCUGAUACGGCCAUCGAGGCCGCCUUGUCCGUAUCGACCAGCCCAACAUUUCGGCUCGUGGCGAAUUUGGCUCUUGUGCUUUGCUUCGCCGCGUUAUUAAAGCAAGGGUUCACACGGAAUCGUGUGCCCCCAGCCUCCUCCGUCGUCUCGUCUCGAGAUGCGGUGUGGACGGGAGGGAGAGACCACGGCGGCUCGUCGGCCUGGGCCCUCUGUCUGCACUACGGUGCGCCGGGUUCCAGUUGGGCCUACUAUGUGAGUGGCCCCCCCAACGCAGCAGGCACCGCGUCGAGUGCUCGAGCUUGCCGACCGUUGUAGCUGGAUUUUCUUGAGACGAGCAAUGCUAUCCACCAUGCUAAAAAAAGAGGAUGCUCUCAAAUGCUGCAUUCACCGUCU